UACGGAGGGGGCAAGCGUUUUUCGGAAUUAUUGGGCGUAAAGGGCGCGUAGGCGGCUAGAUGUGUCAAAGGUGAAAUCCCUCGGCUCAACUGAGGAACUGCCUUUGAAACUGUCUGGCUUGAGGCCGGGAGAGGGUAGCGGAAUUCCCAGUGUAGCGGUGAAAUGCGUAGAUAUUGGGAGGAACACCAGUGGCGAAGGCGGCUACCUGGACCGGUUCUGACGCUGAGGCGCGAAAGCGUGGGUAGCAAACAGG
rnacentral:rRNA from 1 species